AAUGAACGCUGGCGGCAUGCCUAAUACAUGCAAGUCGAGCGAACAGAUCGGGAGCUUGCUCCUAUGAGUUUGGCAGCCGAGGGGUGAGUCACUCGUGGGUAACCUACCUAUACGACUGGGAUAACUUCGGGAAACAGGGGCUACUGCCGGAUGAUAUUUCGACCCGCAUGGUUCCAGCGUUGAAUUAGGUAUUGCUUUCGCUAAUAGCUUGCCCAGGGCUGGAUUAGUUAGUUGGUACGGUGACGGCUUACCAAGGCAACGAUGCGUAGCCGACCCGAAAGGGUGAUCGGCUAGACUGGAACUGAGAAAGGGCCGAGACUCUGACGGUAGGACGCAGCAGGGAAUCUUACGCAAUGGGCGAGAGCCGGACGGAGGAACGCGGGGUGAGGGAUGAAGGACUUCGGACGGGAAAACUAUGUUAGCAGGAAAGAAGAAAAGCGCAAGUAACUGGGCUGAUAUUGACGGUACCUAAUGAGAAAGCCACGGCUAACUACGUG
rnacentral:rRNA from 1 species